AUUGAACGCUGGCGGCAUGCCUAACACAUGCAAGUCGAGCGAGCGGCGGACGGGUGAGUAACGUCUGGGAAACUGCCUGAUGGAGGGGGAUAACUACUGGAAACGGUUGCUAAUACCCCCUACCAUCUCAUGUGCCCAGAUGGGUUUAGCUAGUGGGUGGGGUAACGGCUCACCUAGGCGACGAUCCCUAGCUGGUCUGAGAGGAUGAGCAGCCACACUGGAACUGAGAAACGGUCCAGACUCCUACGGGAGGCAGCAGUGGGGAAUAUUGCACAAUGGGGGCAAGCCUGAUGCAGCAAGGCCGCGUGUGGGAAGAAGGCCUUCGGGUUGUAAAGCACUUUCGGCGGGGAGGCGGUACCCGAAGAAGAAGCACCGGCUAACUCCGUGCCAGCAGCCGCGGUAAUAC
rnacentral:rRNA from 1 species